UACGGAGGGUGCGAGCGUUGUCCGGAAUCACUGGGCGUAAAGGGCGCGUAGGUGGUGGCUUAAGCGUGCGGUGAAAGCUCGGGGCUCAACUCCGAGUCGGCCGUGCGAACUGGGCUCACUGGAGCAUAGUAGAGGCAGGUGGAAUUCCGGGUGUAGCGGUGGAAUGCGUAGAGAUCCGGAAGAACACCGGUGGCGAAGGCGGCCUGCUGGGCUAUGGCUGACACUGAGGCAUGAAAGCGUGGGGAGCAAACAGG
rnacentral:rRNA from 1 species